GCACACUGGACAGAAAUGGCUGCUCUCUGUCCGGGUGUUCAGUAUGGGUUAUCUUCACAGCAAAAUUUUGGUGAAAAUAAAGACUUAAUUUUUGUGAAACUAACGGAUUCUGCUUUACGUGCAAUCGAAGAAUAUAUAAAAAAUCAGAACAAAUUCAACAAUAGUCCUACGAUAAAGUUCCUAGGAAGCGAAAAUGGGGAGCUAUCAUUUCCUUCGUUGCACCAUGCCGUGGGCAGUACGUCCUUCUCGUUCGCCAUGUCGAGCACGGCGGACAUGGAGGGCCAGGGGGGCAGUUUCGAGUGCAUCAAACAGGUAGGGUCGCCGCGGGGCCCCCUCGAAGGUCUCGGUUCCAUUCCCUACAAGAUCCGCAUCCACGCCAAUGACGACGUAUACGAGGUUACCCGCAACCGCAUGACUGAAGCCGAAGACAAAUACAAAAACAAAUGUACAAGGGAGAUAAAGCCCAACCAGACGGACAUCGGCAGAAAAGUGAAGCUGAAGCAGACCCGGCCAGCAGUCCUUCCAAUCCGCAGAGAGGUGUCCUCGAUGCGGCCGUCUAUCCAGCCGUCUUAUCAGUCCAAUGUGCCCUCCAAGCCCACCCCGCCUGUCGUCCACUCAUCCACGAAUGGGCUGUCCAACGGCCUGGGCAGCAACCACGUCAGCAGCUCGCGGCCGCAGCUCAACAGUAAAAAGCCGUCGGUGCCCGAUAUUGCGCGGCGACCACUCAAAGAACGAUUAAUUCAUCUACUUGCGUUGAGGCCGUUCAAAAAGUUUGAACUGCACGAUCGUUUAACUAAAGAGGGCCUCCGCGAAAAGAACAGCAUGACUUCGGUGCUAAAACAGAUUUCCGUCUUGAAGGACAACUGUUAUCACCUGAACAGGCCUAUGUGGAAUGAGGUGCACGAGGACUGGCCUUUUUACACCGAAUCAGAAAGACAAAUACUGAAACGCCGUAAACCGCAAAACCUUACCCCACCGGGUGGCAGCGAUGGCGGCAGCUCGGGCAGCGGCCAGUCCCCCACCAGCACCCAUCCCGGCUCCCCUCCGCCCAUCACCUCCAGCAAGCGCCCCGGCUUCCAGGACGGCCCUGACGGCUUCUUGUACAAACGCCAGCGCAUCGCCCACGGUGCUAAACCAGUGGACGUGCCGCCGUACCGCCAGCCCAUAGAGAACAACAGCCAGCGUCGGCCCGUCACCGAUUCCCGCGACGCCAGCAACAUGAACCCCAGGAGCAGGGAGUCGCCGACCAACGGUUACUUCGGCUCUAUGAACGGCUACGCCAACGGAAUGCUCAAUGAUAAGCGCAAUAUAAGUGAUGACGAAGACAACGCUAGUAAAAAACGUUCAUGUGAUAGUCAUAGUUUAAGCUUCAGUGUAAGCCGCGAAAAGACAUUUCUUAACAAUCGAAGUUCGUCUCCUGCCAACAAGAUUGCGGCGGAAGAGCCCAGGAAGGAGGUCUCGAACGAGAGACAGAACGGUCCCCCGAACGGUAUGUCCAGUUGGAUGAAGCUGGAGGAACGGGAAAAGGAGAGGGAGAAGGAACGAGAAAGAAAUAGUAAAUAUAACAAGGUUUCGUCCUCUACUCAGAAUAGGAUAUCCAGAGUCAGUCCCGACAGCCAGACGGACAGUUUGCCACCGGCGGAUCUGGAGCCACCCCCUGUCGUCAAGAAAGAAGAGAAAGCGGAGUUCCCAGAUUACAAGCAGCAAUAUGUUACCAUACAAGACGUGGACCAGAGGAGGCGGUAUAAAGCAGACUUUAAUGCCGAUUAUGCCGAGUACCGGGACUUGCACGGCAUCGUGGAGAAGGUGUCCAGGCGGUUUGCUCAGCUGGAAGAGAGGCUAAAGCAGGAGGAUGAGAAUAGUCCCAGAUACAAAGACAUUAAAAGGCAAAUAGUACGAGAAUACCACGAGAACAAGAAAGAUCUGGAGCAUCAGAGGGCGAAGAGGAGAUUUCAGUAUCUACACGACAAGUUGUCGCACAUCAAGCAGCUGGUAUUGGAAUACGACGAAGGCAUGAGGGACAGUCAGUACUGACGCUGGUUAACGGCCCGAAGGCCCCAAGCCCCCUUUCGGUUUUACGGACACCUGCCAUUGGACGACGCAAUCACAUCACGAAUCGUAUAAAAAGUUCUUCUAUGUUAAGUUAUAGUGAAGUUAUAUUGGCUAAAAUAAUCAUGAGAUCGUUACUAUUUAAAAAAAAAAGUGUUGUAAAUGCUUCUUUUGUUGAUAUUUGUUGGUUACGACUAUUUAAAUCAAGUGCAUUAAAUUAAGUGUUGUACUAGGUGUAAUUAGUUGACAUGUUUUUGUAUAAAUGACGUUGUGUUAAUUAUUGAUUUGUCGCUUUGUGAGGACUGUACGUUUUGAGUAAGUGCCGAAGAGUGCCGAGGACCUAGCUGUCGAUUUCCUUCACUCCGGAUCUGGACCGGCGGGCCGACAUACCAUCAUCCUAAUCAGAGUUUUUAAUCAAGAUCUCCUUACACAUUGCUCAAGAGUAUGCUGGAACAUACAAAUUCUUCAAGAAAAGAGCUCUAAGCAACGUUGAAAUGUUUGAGAAAUUAAUAAUUAACAUAAAACUGACUCCGAAAACUCUUUCCGAAAUGGCACAGUGCUCUUAUCACAAUCAAAAGCCCGAACAUAUCCCAAAACCAUAUUCAAUUAAAUUGAAAAUCUCAAAAAAUAUUCAGUCAUAUCUACUUUAUUAUAAAUUAAUUUCCACUUAAUUUU